rnacentral:rRNA from 1 species
GACAGAGGGUGCAAACGUUGCUCGGAAUCACUGGGCGUAAAGGGCGUGUAGGCGGGAAGGAAAGUCAGAUGUGAAAUCCCCAGGCUCAACCUGGGAACUGCAUUUGAAACUCCCUUUCUUGAGUACCGGAGAGGAAAGUGGAAUUCCUGGUGUAGAGGUGAAAUUCGUAGAUAUCAGGAGGAACACCAGUGGCGAAGGCGGCUUUCUGGGCAUUACCUGACGCUGAGGAGCGAAAGCAUGGGGAGCGAACAGG